AUUGAACGCUGGCGGCAGGCUUAACACAUGCAAGUCGAGCGGAGACUUCGGUCUUAGCGGCGAACGGGUGAGUAAUACCUAGGAAUCUGCCUAUUAGUGGGGAUAACGGCUCGAAAGGGUCGCUAAUACCGCAUACGUCCUACGGGAGAAAGUGGGGAGUCUUCGGACCUCACGCUAAUAGAUGAGCCUAGGCCGGAUUAGCUAGUUGGUAGGGUAAAGGCCUACCAAGGCGACGAUCCGUAGCUGGUCUGAGAGGAUGAUCAGCCACACUGGAACUGAGACACGGUCCAGACUCCUACGGGAGGCAGCAGUGGGGAAUAUUGGACAAUGGGGGCAACCCUGAUCCAGCCAUGCCGCGUGUGUGAAGAAGGCC
rnacentral:rRNA from 1 species